GGUUCCGUGGUGUAGUGGUUAUCACGUUUCGUUUACAGUAAUGUAAACUCUGAUCCGAAAAGGUCGCGCGUUCGAUCCGCGCCGGAAUCA